UGGUUCUGAAUUAAUGAGUAAAUUUUGAAGAUGUCGUUGACACCCAGAGAUUUAAAAGAUAUAACAGAUUUGGUUUCCAAGAAAUUAGAGAUAUAUCUGAACAUCGACGAGAGAGAACGACAUUUCAACACAGAAGGAUGUUACAGAGUCUCGCCUAGAAUGCAUAAAUAUGACGUCAUGUAUCGUCUAGUUGAAAGUCGAGAAUUUGAAAAGAACCUCCAGAAAACCCCAAG